UGAUGAAGACUAUUGACAAUGCUGCCCUGAUUUUUCUGAUGUCCUACACCAGGAGGAGCUAGUCGGAUCACCAUCCACAUCUACUUGUUCCCAUCUCCUGCUUUUGCUUCUAUGCAAUAUAAAGAUUUAAA
rnacentral:lncRNA from 1 species